rnacentral:rRNA from 1 species
CACCGGCGGCUCGAGUGGUGGCCCCUUUUAUUGGGUCUAAAGCGUCCGUAGCCGGCUUGGCAAGUCCCCUGGGAAAUCUGGCGGCUUAACCGUCAGGCGUCCAGAGGAUACUGCCAGGCUUGGGACCGGGAGAGGUGAGAGGUACCUCAGGGGUAGGGGUGAAAUCUUGUGAUCCCUGAGGGACCACCAGUGGCGAAAGCGUCUCACUAGAACGGGUCCGACGGUCAGGGACGAAAGCUGGGGGCACGAACCGG